rnacentral:rRNA from 1 species
AUGCCGGAGGGGGCGACGGCGCUGGAGAUCCCCGCAGACCGCCCGGCCUUCGUCACCCGCGUGUACUUCGACGGCCCUCCGGCCGCCACCGCCGUCCGCCUGGCCUUUCCGCCGCGCACGGAGCGCCCGGACUCGAUCAAGGUGUACAUGAACUCCACCCGCAAACGCGACCCCGAGGCGGUCUACCACGCGCGGCGCUUCGCGUACGCGUACAUCACGCCGCCGGACCUGCCGCAGAACUUCGAGCUCCUCCCGGACACCUGCCACGGCGACAUGGCGGUGCGCUUCCGCACGCCCGACCACCGGGAGGCGGCCAUGCGCCGGCAGCCGUUCCUGCUGGACGGGGUCACCGUGAGGCUCGUGCGCGAGGGGGAGACGCCCAACGUCCGGCGGGUCACGCACGACUACCUCGUCCACGCGGCGCUGCGCGACUACCCCGUCGAGCAGCGCACGGAGGAGAUGAUCGGGGACAACUGCAGCGGGUUCGGGUUCGUGCGCGAGAUCGACCCGGCCUGCUUCGCGGCGCCCGACCUCUCCACCGUCCGCGUCGUCCUGCAGAACGAGCACCCUCGUGAGGUCCCCCACGAGCUCCGGAUCCUCUACGAUGAUGGCUUCACCAGCGUCGUCCCCGUCGAGAUCGUCGGGGUUUGGCACCGCUCACACUCCUGCGAUGUCAAUGGGCACUUGGGCAGUACGUGCCUCUCUUCCAGCCCCCGGUUGCCGCUGCUUGAAUUGAUGGAUUUCAAGCUCAAACAAGUUUCUGCUAAUGUUUAG